UCAUGAAUUACAUUUGAGUGAGUGGCGAACUGGUGAGUAACAACGUGGGGGAACCUGCCCCAGAAGCGGGGGAUAACACCUGGAAACAGAUGCUAAUACCGCAUAACAACUUGGACCGCAUGGUCCGAGUUUGAAAGAUGGCUUCGGCUAUCACUUUUGGAUGGUCCCGCGGCGUAUUAGCUAGAUGGUGAGGUAACGGCUCACCAUGGCAAUGAUACGUAGCCGACCUGAGAGGGUAAUCGGCCACAUUGGGACUGAGACACGGCCCAAACUCCUACGGGAGGCAGCAGUAGGGAAUCUUCCACAAUGGACGAAAGUCUGAUGGAGCAACGCCGCGUGAGUGAAGAAGGGUUUCGGCUCGUAAAACUCUGUUGUUAAAGAAGAACAUAUCUGAGAGUAACUGUUCAGGUAUUGACGGUAUUUAACCAGAAAGCCACGGCUAACUACGUGCCAG
rnacentral:rRNA from 1 species